UACGGGGGGAGCAAGCGUUGUUCGGAUUUACUGGGCGUAAAGGGCGCGUAGGCGGCCAGCACAAGUCAGUUGUGAAAUCUCCGAGCUUAACUCGGAAAGGUCAACUGAUACUGUGCGGCUAGAGUGCGGAAGGGGCAACUGGAAUUCUUGGUGUAGCGGUGAAAUGCGUAGAUAUCAAGAGGAACACCUGCGGCGAAGGCGGGUUGCUGGGCCGACACUGACGUGAGGCGCGAAAGCCAGGGGAGCGAACGGG
rnacentral:rRNA from 1 species